rnacentral:lncRNA from 1 species
CCCAGGAGUGAUAUGUCUUUGAGAUGUGAAUAGGGCUUGAAUAGAAGAUGAUAAUGGAUGGAUGUCUGUGUGCGUGUGUGUGUGCUUGAGUGCGUGCGUGCGUGCGUGCAUGCGUGUAUGUGUGUGUGUGUGUGUGUGUGUGUGUGUUUGUGUGUGUGUGUGUGUGUGAACUGUGUGAACUCCUGAGGAGGACCUUGACAAUGCAGGGAAAGUGAAUGACAAGUCAAUCUGCAUUCCAAUGGAGGAGGAAGACCCAGACAGGGGUAAAUAGUAGGGUCACUAGCCAGGGGACAGGUUAGGUUAGGAGGCUGAGGAGGCUGUUAUGGUUACAGUCAGACAGGGGACAGGUUAGGUUAGGGGGCUGAGGAGGCUGUUAUGGUUACAGUCAGACAGGGGACAGGUUAGGUUAGGAGGCUGAGGAGGCUAUUAUGGUUACAGUCAGACAGGGGACAG